AGGACGAACGCUGGCGGCGUGCUUAACACAUGCAAGUCGAACGAGGUGCUUGCACCUAGUGGCGAACGGGUGAGUAACACGUGAGCAACCUGCCCUUGGCUCUGGGAUAGCCUCCGGAAACGGGGAUUAAUACCGGACAUGACCUUGGUCUGCAUGGACUGAGGUGGAAAGUUUUUCGGCCAGGGAUGGGCUCGCGGCCUAUCAGCUUGUUGGGGGGUAACGCCCACCAAGGCGACGACGGGUA
rnacentral:rRNA from 1 species